UACAGAGGUCUCAAGCGUUGUUCGGAUUUAUUGGGCGUAAAGGGCGCGUAGGCGGCGGGGUAAGUCGGGUGUGAAAUCUCAGGGCUCAACCCUGAAACUGCACUUGAUACUGCUCUGCUUGAGGACUGGAGAGGAGACUGGAAUUCACGGUGUAGCAGUGAAAUGCGUAGAUAUCGUGAGGAAGACCAGUGGCGAAGGCGGGUCUCUGGGCCGAUACUGACACUGAGGAGCGAAAGCGUGGGGAGCGAACAGG
rnacentral:rRNA from 1 species